rnacentral:rRNA from 1 species
UUGAACGCUGGCGGCAGGCCUAACACAUGCAAGUCGAGCGGAUGAAGGGAGCUUGCUCCUGGAUUCAGCGGCGGACGGGUGAGUAAUGCCUAGGAAUCUGCCUGGUAGUGGGGGAUAACGUCCGGAAACGGGCGCUAAUACCGCAUACGUCCUGAGGGAGAAAGUGGGGGAUCUUCGGACCUCACGCUAUCAGAUGAGCCUAGGUCGGACUAGCUAGUUGGUGGGGUAAAGGCCUACCAAGGCGACGAUCCGUAACUGGUCUGAGAGGAUGAUCAGUCACACUGGAACUGAGACACGGUCCAGACUCCUACGGGAGGCAGCAGUGGGGAAUAUUGGACAAUGGGCGAAAGCCUGAUCCAGCCAUGCCGCGUGUGUGAAGAAGGUCUUCGGAUUGUAAAGCACUUUAAGUUGGGAGGAAGGGCAGUAAGUUAAUACCUUGCUGUUUUGACGUUACCAACAGAAUAAGCACCGGCUAACUUCGUG